CAAGGCAGAUGGCUGCCCACCUAGAGCCCGGUUCUGUUCAUGGUUUCUAAAACUAAAGGGCAGUUUUUCUUUGCCGCUGUCACCAAGUGCUUGCUCAUGGGGACAGAACCAACCUCCAUCUCUGGAAAGGCUAAUAAUCUCUGGCAUAGUAUGGAAUCAUUCGAGACUUUCAUUACUGCUGUGAUAACCAGCCAUGUUCUAGGUGACAUGCAGCCCCUCACCAAACAAUUGCAUGCUACUAACUUGGACAUCAUCACAGCAUAUGAAGAGCCCCGCCCAACUCUGUCGAUGUGGUCCCAGCCAAGCGGAGAAGAUCUGUGAAACAGAAAUACAGGCCUAACUAAUCCACAGACUCAGUGGAAGACCACUACAGGGUAAAUGUAUUUUAUCCAUUUAUAGACCAAAUCACUAGUGAGCUGGAUGCCAGGUUCUCUCAAAGGAAUAAGCCUGCGAUGCUAGCAGCUCACCAAGUACCAAAAGCUCUAAGAAAAGCUGAUAGCAGAAAGGGAGGAAGAGCUGGUAGAGUGGUACUGAGAAGACCUACCUGACCCAGACACAGCGGAGCAGGAAAUAGAACGCUGGAGGCACAAGUUUCACUCAGAAGAUGAGUCCCUGCCAACAUCAGCUUUUGAAACUCUGCAAGCAAUAUAAAUGGCCUUCUUUCCCAACAUAAAAUGUAUGUUGAAAAUGUUUCUUACACUUAAAGUGACAACAUGUGCCUGCAAAAGGUCAUUCUCUGGCUCAGAGCCAGCAUGUCCAAUGAACAGCUCACAGGACUGGUGCUUACACAUGUUCACAAGAGAGUGAAAAUUGACAAGGAGAGAGUUUUGAGGCAGUGGGAUGUCUCUGGCCACAGGAGGAUACAGCAGCCUUCCAAAAGUGAGUCAAGAAGUGAAGAAGUGGAGGGAAAGACCAUAAUGUAUGCAGGAAAUCAACACAAGGGAGGGUAGUGAAAAGCCUGUAGUCAGUGUAUUCUUCAACCAAACACACACAGAAAAAGAGUGAAAGUAAAUUGUGACAAAUUCUGCGGCUGUAAUAAAAGUAUUUUUGCCAACGGGUCCUUCUGGAUGUAUUUAAUUAAUGAGUUUGCGUAUAGUGUAUAGCUUAGGUUGUGAUUGUAGGUGUCAUUUUGGUAUGAAUUUUGCUCAUCCGGAAAUGCAGUAAAUAAGAUCCAUUGAAAGAAAAAAAUAAUAAUCUUAGCUUGACUGUUUCAGUCUUUAAAAGUGCUCCCCAGUACGCCAGUAGAGACUGAAGUCCGAUGAGUCUGCAUCUCUUUGUUUUGUACAGUGCAGCGUUUGUACAGUGAGGUUGUAUUUUUGUACACAGUAUUAAUUUUCUGCUUUUAUUGCUUCACUCUAGAAAUAACACCGACGUGUUGUUCUGCUUAAAAGAAAUAGUGCCUGCUGACUAAACAGCUGAUAAUGGAAAUAAUAAAACUAUUGUUAUUUGA